rnacentral:sRNA from 1 species
UAAUAGCCCCGAUAGUAGCGGCAUCCUUUUUUGAGUGAGGCGGCGAGCGCAGCGACGCCGACCGAGCGAAAAAAAGAUACAGCGGAUAGCGGGAUAAGCU